GGCACAACAGUUAAGUGCUUGGCUGCUAACCAAGAGGUUGGUGGUUCAAAUCCAUC
rnacentral:tRNA from 1 species